rnacentral:rRNA from 1 species
GCACAGAAGAGCUUGCCCUUUGGGUGACGAGUGGCGGACGGGUGAGUAAUGUCUGGGAAACUGCCCGAUGGAGGGGGAUAACUACUGGAAACGGUAGCUAAUACCGCAUAACGUCGCAAGACCAAAGUGGGGGACCUUCGGGCCUCACACCAUCGGAUGUGCCCAGAUGGGAUUAGCUAGUAGGUGGGGUAAUGGCUCACCUAGGCGACGAUCCCUAGCUGGUCUGAGAGGAUGACCAGCCACACUGGAACUGAGACACGGUCCAGACUCCUACGGGAGGCAGCAGUGGGGAAUAUUGCACAAUGGGCGCAAGCCUGAUGCAGCCAUGCCGCGUGUAUGAAGAAGGCCUUCGGGUUGUAAAGUACUUUCAGCGGGGAGGAAGGCGGUGAGGUUAAUAACCUCGCCGAUUGACGUUACCCGCAGAAGAAGCACCGGCUAACUCCGUGCCAGCAGCCGCGGUAAUACGGAGGGUGCAAGCGUUAAUCGGAAUUACUGGGCGUAAAGCGCACGCAGGCGGUCUGUUAAGUCAGAUGUGAAAUCCCCGGGCUUAACCUGGGAACUGCAUUUGAAACUGGCAGGCUUGAGUCUCGUAAGGGGGGUAGAAUUCCAGGUGUAGCGGUGAAAUGCGUAGAGAUCUGGAGGAAUACCGGUGGCGAAGGCGGCCCCCUGGACGAAAACUGACGCUCAGUGCAAAGCGUGGGGAGCAACAGGAUUAAAUACCUGGUAUCACGCCGUAAACAUUCACUGGAGGUGUGCCUUAGGCGUGGCUCCGGAACUACGCGUUAAUCACGCUGGGAGUACGGCGCAGUUAAACUCAAUAAUGACGGGGGCCCACAACGGUGACCUGUGUUAUUCAUCAACCAAAAACUUACUGCCUUACACUCAAAAAUUACAAAAUUUUGGUCCUCGGAC